rnacentral:rRNA from 1 species
GACGAACGCUGGCGGCGUGCCUAACACAUGCAAGUCGAACGGAGAAAUUCAGCAAUGGAUUUCUUAGUGGCGAACGGGUGAGUAACGCGUAGAUAACCUGCCUCUAAGAUGGGGACAACAACUCGAAAGGGUUGCUAAUACCGAAUGUGAACAGUGACUCGCAUGAGAAGCCGUUUGAAGGGGGCCUCUGAAUAUGCUACCGCUUAGAGAUGGGUCUGCGUCUGAUUAGCUAGUCGGAGGGGUAAUGGCGCAACAAGGCGUCGAUCAGUAGCCGGUCUGAGAGGAUGAACGGCCACACUGGGACUGAGACACGGCCCAGACUCCUACGGGAGGCAGCAGUGGGGAAUCUUCCGCAAUGGACGAAAGUCUGACGGAGCAACGCCGCGUGAGUGAAGAAGGUUUUCGGAUCGUAAAGCUCUGUCUUCAGGGACGAAUGUGCAGAUUGUAAAUAAUGGUUUGCAAUGACGGUACCUGAGGAGGAAGCCACGGCUAACUACGUGCCAGCCGCCGCAGUAAGAC